rnacentral:sRNA from 2 species
UUUGAUCACACGCCGAAUCCUGCCGGUGAUCGGAGGCACUUGACGCGCAAGCGCCGAAGGCAGGAGCGGGGGACCCAAGGUACGUGCCGGCCCCACCCGUGAAAGCGGGUCCACCGGCUUGGGGUGAAGCCACGUGCGCCACGCGCACGCGGCCGGGCGAUUUCUCACAGCCCGAACCCGACAGCUCACCUCGUAGGCGUCGGUGAGGAAACGA